rnacentral:tRNA from 1 species
GGAGAGAUGGCUGAGUGGUUUAAAGCGCUGGUCUCGAAAAUCAGUUGACGGUAACGUCUCGAGGGUUCAAAUCCCUCUCUCUCCUCCA